rnacentral:rRNA from 1 species
CCUACGGGAGACAGCAGUGGGGAAUAUUGCGCAAUGGGCGAAAGCCUGACGCAGCGACGCCGCGUGAGGGAUGAAGGUCUUCGGAUCGUAAACCCCUGUCAGCAGGGAAGAACGGUCACUGUGCUAAUCAGCAGUGAAUUGACGGUACCUGCAAAGGACGCACCGGCUAACUCCGUGCCAGCAGCCGCGGUAAUACGGAGGGUGCGAGCGUUAAUCGGAAUUAUUGGGCGUAAAGCGCUCGUAGGCGGUAUGUCAAGUCAAGGGUGAAAUCCCCGCGCUCAACGUGGGAACUGACUUUGAAACUGGCAAACUAGAGUGUGUGAGAGGAAAGUGGAAUUCCAGGUGUAGGGGUGAAAUCCGUAGAUAUCUGGAGGAACAUCAGUGGCGAAGGCGACUAUCUGGCACAUAACUGACGCUGAGGAGCGAAAGCGUGGGGAUCGAACAGGAUUAGAUACCCGAGUAGUC